AGUUUUAUAUUUUAAAAAAAAAUUAAAUUGCAAAUUUAAAAAUAUAUUAUUCAAAUUAAUAUUAAAACUU
rnacentral:tRNA from 1 species